rnacentral:rRNA from 1 species
CAGCCGUAAACUAUGCGCGUUAGGUGUAUCGGUGACCACGAGUUACCGAGGUGCCGAAGGGAAACCGUGAAACGUGCCGCCUGGGAAGUACGGUCGCAAGGCUGAAACUUAAAGGAAUUGGCGGGGGAGCACCGCAACGGGAGGAGCGUGCGGUUUAAUUGGAUUCAACACCGUAAACUCACCAGGGAAGACUGUUACAUGAAGGCCGAGAUGAAGACUCUGCUAGAUUUUUCAGAGAGGAGGUGCAUGGCGUCAGUGACU